rnacentral:rRNA from 1 species
UACAGAGGUCUCAAGCGUUGUUCGGAUUUAUUGGGCGUAAAGGGUGCGUAGGCGGUCGGGUAAGUCAUAUGUGAAAUCUCGGAGCUCAACUCCGAAACUGCAUGCGAUACUGCCUGGCUAGAGGAAUGGAGAGGAGAUCGGAAUUCUCGGUGUAGCAGUGAAAUGCGUAGAUAUCGAGAGGAACACCAGUGGCGAAGGCGGAUCUCUGGACAUUUCCUGACGCUGAGGCACGAAGGCUAGGGGAGCGAACGGG